rnacentral:rRNA from 1 species
GGCAAACGCUGGCGGCGUGCCUAAUACAUGCAAGUCGAACGGGGAAAGUAGCAAUACGAGUACUAGUGGCGCACGGGUGAGGAACACGUGGGUAAUCUGCCUUCAAGCGGGGGAUAACCAGUCGAAAGAUUGGCUAAUACCGCAUAAGACCACAGGAUCUGCGGAUCUAGAGGUCAAAGCCGCAAGGCACUUGAAGAUGAGCCCGCGUAAGAUUAGCUAGUUGGUGAGGUAAUGGCUCACCAAGGCGAUGAUCUUUAGCUGGUCUGAGAGGAUGAUCAGCCACACUGGAACUGAGACACGGUCCAGACUCCUACGGGAGGCAGCAGUAGGGAAUAUUGCGCAAUGGGGGAAACCCUGACGCAGCGACGCCGCGUGAGUGAUGGAGGCCUUCGGGUCGUAAAGCUCUGUUAUAUGGGAAUAAGAUCUGAAUGUACCAUGUGAGAAAGGAUCGGCUAACUUCGUGCCAGCCGCCGCUGUAACAC